GUCUACGGCCAUACCACCCUGAACGCGCCCGAUCUCUUCUGAUCUCGGAAGCUAACCAAGGUCGGGCCUGGUUAGUACUUGGAUGGGAGACCGCCUGGAAAUACAGGGAGCUGUAGGCU
rnacentral:rRNA from 1 species